CCAAUGUCUCAUCCUCAGACCUCACUGGGCGACAAGAGGUCUCCCGAAUUGCAGCCUCACAGACAAGCGUGCCAUUUGACCAUCUUGGGAAAUGAGGAGUGCGACCACAGACCAGUGUUUGCGUAGUGUCUUCACUGCAUUUUAUUUAAACAAAUUAAAAACAGAUAAGAGAGAGGACAGAGAGAACCGUUCAAACGAACGAAGGAAAAACAAACAAACCACAAAAACCACAACCCAGCACAAAGUCGACAAUGGAUUUUGUUUCUUUGAUUUAUUUUGCCAAUGGCAAAAAGACAAGACGUCCUUAGCACUGAGGAUGCUUGUCCCCUUGCCUUGCCCACUGCUCCCAACCUGAAGGCUGCCAACACUCCUCUGGUGACACUGGGUCACACUCCAGCCACCUGUUCUCACCACCGCCCACCACGUGCCGGGCCGCCAUCGGAGGUGCCUGAAGAGCUUGCAUCAGGGAGUGGUUUGGCCAGUCAAAGACAAGUCCUAGGAGAUUUCAUCGAGCCUUGGAUGACGCGCCAUCAGCCCUCAGAGCAAAACUUUUUAUUACUUUGUAAUUUAAAAAACUGAAAAAAAA
rnacentral:lncRNA from 1 species